rnacentral:rRNA from 1 species
ACUGGCAGGCUAGAGUCUUGUAGAGGGGGGUAGAAUUCCAGGUGUAGCGGUGAAAUGCGUAGAGAUCUGGAGGAAUACCGGUGGCGAAGGCGGCCCCCUGGACAAAGACUGACGCUCAGGUGCGAAAGCGUGGGGAGCAAACAGGAUUAGAUACCCUGGUAGUCCACGCCGUAAACGAUGUCGAUUUGGAGGUUGUGCCCUUGAGGCGUGGCUUCCGGAGCUAACGCGUUAAAUCGACCGCCUGGGGAGUACGGCCGCAAGGUUAAAACUCAAAUGAAUUGACGGGGGCCCGCACAAGCGGUGGAGCAUGUGGUUUAAUUCGAUGCAACGCGAAGAACCUUACCUGGUCUUGACAUCCACAGAACUUUCCAGAGAUGGAUUGGUGCCUUCGGGAACUGUGAGACAGGUGCUGCAUGGCUGUCGUCAGCUCGUGUUGUGAAAUGUUGGGUUA